GGGUUGAAGUCGUGAUGGGUGACACGAGCCGGCUGUAACCCGGCUGCUCUCGGCGAGCUUGCAGGUUCAAAUCCUGCUCAACCCA
rnacentral:tRNA from 1 species